rnacentral:rRNA from 1 species
UGCAGUCGAACGCUUCUUUUUCCACCGGAGCUUGCUCCACCGGAAAAAGAGGAGUGGCGAACGGGUGAGUAACACGUGGGUAACCUGCCCAUCAGAAGGGGAUAACACUUGGAAACAGGUGCUAAUACCGUAUAACAAUCAAAACCGCAUGGUUUUGAUUUGAAAGGCGCUUUCGGGUGUCGCUGAUGGAUGGACCCGCGGUGCAUUAGCUAGUUGGNGAGG